rnacentral:lncRNA from 1 species
GGAGGAACAUUGCAGAAUGAUAAACAUAAACAGCAACUAGAGACAUGUCACAAUUAGCAUUGCCGAAUGCUAAGUCAUACAAGUGCAGCAAUCGCAGGUGCAUCUUUCAGCCCAGUAGGUUCCAUCAUACAGAGGAAAGCACAUUUGACCAAGAAACAUCUAGCGCUUUCGCAAUACAAGGUCCAGACUUCACCGCGUCUAGUUUCGCCUCAAACAGAUAUCCUCCAGAAGUGCUUGCUAGCUCAUGCAGCAUCUGGCGGUGAACCACCAGGAACUAACUGUCAGGGAGAAAACAAAAAUGUUAUCAGCCUGAUCGUUUAGCACAGUCAGAUACUGCUGUUGGUGUUUGAAUGUAAAUUCUUACGAUGGCUAUGUUGUUGCCAUUGAGGAGGAUCUGAUCAAGUUUCGUAAUGCGCCGGCCCUCGGCAGUAUACUCACUGCAAAACAUGCAAAGGAAAAUUGAACCAAGGAUAUUAGACUAGAAUUUCAGAAGCAAGUCCUCAAAAAAAGAUCAGACAAAAAGUAUGUAUGAAGCCAACAAAGGACUACUCGUAAACAUCAUUUUGAAGUAAUGAGCUUCCAGAUUGACUACCUAGAAUUUUUUUGCAACUACUCGGCGUCGCCUAAGCAAAGGAAAGAUCCAUCAAUAUCCAGCAUUUCGCUAAACAUACUCAAUUAUGCGUCAAGCAUUCAAUGUUUGCCUGGCCAUCAGGCGCACACGAAACUGGGUCUAUAUACGAUUUCCUUCUGAGCUUCAUAAAAUACUAACAGUCAUGCUAUUUUAUUUACUUCUGCAGCUGCAACACGAAUUUGCAAUACAUGACAUUAUGCACCACCAUCUCAGCAUCUUUGAUGAACUAAUGUGAAAUCAAUGGAAGUUAAAAAUUCACUGCAUCAUCCGUGGACUAGUAUGACAUGAACGGUAGAAUUAGCACAACAUCCGUGGAAAAGUACUUCCAGCAUCUCUGAAAAGGAAUAUCAGUUUCCAUUCUAAGUAGACAACUCCCUCCCAGCCUUCUAGUACACUUGUCUAUAUCCAUUUUCAUUCUAUCAGCAAUCAUGAUACACAAUGUUAAAUCAGAAAACAGAUAGCUGUGUUGUGAUCUUUGGAAGUCAAGCAAGUGUCAAUGUGAGAUACAUAUGCACCAGCUGCACGAAUGCUCGUUUUAUAUCUACUACAGCAACCUUGUGUUGUACGCAUCAAGUAUCACUGAUAGUGAGAGUUUCUAAUCUACUCCGUAUAAGACAAGACGAAACACACAAAGUCCAACGAGCCCAGGACCCAUCAGAUAGACUGAUAGAAGAUGCUCAGUUCGUUAAUUGGCGUGAACUCCUGCGGUCAUGCUAAUCUGGUGCGAAUUGUUAACAUAUUUUCGCUACGGUCAGAUAUGUGACGCUGUUACAACAUAUGUGUAAGUACAAAAUUCAAGUCAUAACUAGGUGAGCUCAUCAGCAUAAUUAAAAUAUGCUGAUAACUCACUCAAAAUAAGACAGACUUCACCCAAGAUUCCAGGUAAAACCUGAUGCGCAUCGAUCUAAAGAAACUAGGGUUUAGGGUUUGGGUGGGCUGCACUUACUAUUCAGUGACGUCCUCGAGGACCAUGUUGACGUAGACGUCGAACCCGCAGAGGGUGCCGACGAGCUCCUUGUCUCCCUUCAUGAUCACCCAAAUCUUAGAUCCGAUGCACCGGUCGAUCAGCUCUGCCCGUCGCACCAGUUCGCACAAGCACGCGCGCGCGCGUGGAGACACGCGCACAGAAAAGAGGCAAAAGCCGUGAGUCAGGAGCUCGAACCCAGCAGAUUAGGCGACGGAGCUAGCCAGCUAGGGGAAUCGAAAGAAGCUUUGCGAGAAAAAGCGAUGUUGUCCUGCGCACCUGAGGGGAGGAGCUGGGAGGGGUUGUUCUGAGACAUGGCGCCGCCUCCGGUUGCCGGUGGCUGGGGAGCUCGAGGCCGGUGGGUGACGACGAGAAGGGCACGGCUGGAGCGCAGGCGGACGGAGAAGAACGGCGGCGGAGGCGGAGGGGAUUGGGGCUUUUGCUUCUGCGCAGCGGUGGAUAGUUCCGUGCUAACGGGCGAACUGCUCUCGAGUCUCGACGCCGGUUUCGGCCCAUAUCUAGGCCCAAUAGAGAGUUUUCGGGUCAGCGUUCACCAUUCUAAGGUAGGCUUCCCUUAAAAAAAAACAUAUUCUAAGGUAGGCCAUGCGGCAGGGCCGUUCCUAUUUGGCCUGUAGGCCGCUGUCUAGGACCUUCACUGAACCGGAUUUUUUUCUGUUUUUUUCUUUGGCCACGCUACGCGUCGGCCGGCGGAUUUUUCUAAAAGAUUCGCCGCCUCGGCAACUGUUAUUUGUACAGGUAUCCAGCAUCUAACACUGUUCUCAUUAUUGCAACAAGGGCAUUGUUGCAGAAAUACUUUGCAACAAAGGUUAUGUUGCAGAAUUUUUUUCCGACAUAGUUGAUGUUGCAGAUUUUUUUUCAUCACUGUUUUUGCAACAUGGGUAUUGUUGCGGCGGAAACCAAAUCGCAACAUAGACAAUGUUGCAGAAAUAUUUGUUAUUUUUUCGUCUUCAUUUUUUCGCUUUUUUGUCUUCAUUUUUUCACAACAUAGGUGUUGUUGCGGAAGACAGUUUUGCAACACACAUGAUGUUGCGAAAAGACAGGUGCGAAGGAUACAUGUACACGUGUCACAUAGAGGAGGCAGCGGAUGGCUUGCGUGCGAUCCGUCGGGUGAAGGAAAGAGUUUCCCUUUUUUCUUUGUCUUUUCUUAUGAUUCUUGUUUCUUUUAUAUUUCUGGAUUUUUGCUUUUUCUUUUAUGUUUUAAUUUUUUUCAUUUUUGUUUCUCCUUUUCUUUUUUCUAAGUUUGUCUUUUAUUUAUUUUCAUUUUCCAUUUUCCAUUUUUGCAAACAUUUUUUCCAAAUUUAUAAACUUUUUUUAGGUCGUGAUCAUUUUUAUAAUUGUGAACACAUUUUAUGAAACCGUGAACAUAUUUCAAAUGUGCAAACAUUUUUGAAAUCACUAACAUUUUUUAUUUUUUGAACACUGCUUUUUGGAAAUUGUGAACUUUUUUUGAAACAUGUGAUUUUUUUUUGAAUCAGCGAGUAUUUUUUGAAUUGGUGAGCAGUUUUUCAAUCAGCAAACAAUUUUUGAAUAUAUGAACAUUUUUUGAAUCGGCGAACAUUUUGGAAAUGAUGAACAGUUUUUGAAUUAGUGAACAUUUUUGCAUUGAUGAACAGUUUUUAAAACUCAUGAACAUUUUUUUGAAAUGAUUAAACGUGAAUCAUUUAACAUUUUUUGAAUCGAUCAAGUUUUAUUGAAAUUCAUAACCAUCUUCUAUUUUUGUGAACAUUUUUCAAUACGUGAUUUUUCUUCAAAAAAUGAAAAAAAAAUCCACGAACUUUUUAUAUUUUUUUAAAUUUGGAUAUUGGUCGAAAUCCCGAAUUAUUUUAAAGAACAAAAACUGAAAUGGGAAUCAAAGAAAAAGAGAAAACGACCUAAAAAUACAAGGGCCCUCUCAUGGGCCAGCCCAAUAAGGAGCACCCGGCCGGCAGGUCCUUUCCCCCGGGUGAGUUGGCAGAUAGCGAGCAAUCGCAUGCCCUCUUUGGGCGGGCCCACUGCUUGGUGGGGCUCCCUGUUUUCUUUUUUGUUUAUCAUUUUAGUUUUUUCUUUUUUUACUCUUUAAAAAAUGUUUGGGAUAAAAAACUGAAUUUCAAAAAAGAUUCAUGAGUUUUAAAAAUGUUCACUGAUUUAAAAAAUGUUCACUAGUUUGCAAAAUGUUCCCCAGCGUACCGAGAAGAGUGCUAUAUUCUUUCAUGAGGUUCGAAGAACUUCAACGAGAAACAUCUGCGUUGCAGAGAAGAGAGAGAUAUGCUUCAAGAAGAAAACAUACGGAGAAGAUUAUGUGUGGAAGUUGACCCCUUUAAAAUAUUGCUGGCGCAAAGUAAUUUUCAUUCGAUGCGUCCGAAGAAGAAUGAUUGUAGUUGAGUAGAUUGAAGACGAAGCAAAGACGUAAUAUUAUUUUCGUAGUUCUUCUUUCUUUUAUUUGAGUCAUAGGACCACCACACUAUUAAGAGGGGUAUAGAUAUUGAAGACUUUUUAUGUGUUGUGAUGCUUAGCCGAAUCCUUUGAAAGACCGAGAGAGAGAGAGAGAGAGAUCUUUGGACCGACGAGUGGGCUUUACUUGUUCCAUCUAGAAAGGCAGCGGCUAUAAAUAGCUACCCCGCUCCAAUGUUUUUCGUUGGUUGUAGUGUUUGGUUUAUAGCCGGAGGCACGGUCCACGAUCACACAUUUGCUAAAAUCUUCAUCAGGAUCACCCCUCACUUUUAGACUAAACUCAAAAUAUAUAUGAUCAAAUACUAUUAAUUCUCUACGUCGACCUAUCAAUGUUAACAUAUUAUCCUGCACAGUAAUUUAGUAGAAAAUCACAAUAUGUCUAUGUAUUUAACAAACUAUGAACUUGGACAUAAAGCAAAACGAGCUUGACUACUCAAAUAAAUUCAAACAGUUUGACGGUUAUGUUGUUUAACUAGCUUGGGGAGAAUUGAUUGCUUCUGUAGUUUUGUUGUCGCACCGCUAUAGCCCCUAUAAAUUGUUGCCAAUUGUAUAGAUGUAUGUUCAGAUGGACAAGGUGCCACUAUAGUUUCUUUUAUUUCCGGUACACAAAAGAGCAUAUUUUACACUAGCCAGACCACAUUGUACAAAAUAAGCAACCAAGUUCGCAGAAG